rnacentral:rRNA from 1 species
AUGAGUCUCGCCCAGGCCAAGCUCCUCCUCUCAUGCCUCGCCGGCGACCGCCUCCUUCCGGACGCGCCGUCGCCACCGAGGCUCUCCCGGAUCGCCUCCUCGCCAACCUCCUUCCACAUGGCUGCUGUGAGCUCGGCCGCCACCGCGAUGCCUGCCACCUGCUCGACCGAAUGCCGCGGCAGGACCUUGUCUCCUGGGCUAAUAUGGUACGGAAGUGAUCACUUGGCUAUAAGCCUCCUGCUAUGCCACAUUGCCCCAUGUUCUAAGCUUAGCUCAGGAUAUAAGGGGAAUUCAGCUAGUGGUCCCAAUGUCAGCGAAGCAGCUGCAACCUAUGCUGAAAACAUGAGGUCAGUCAAAGCCGAACAGUCCAAUGAAGUCCUGCUGCUCAAAUGCAUGUAUAUGCUGCUCAAAUGA